rnacentral:rRNA from 1 species
AUGAGCAGCGGCACGCGCGGUGUCGGCGUCGUCGGCGUGGCGGCGGGCGCGGGAAGGAAGAGGCGGGGGUGCUUCUGCCCGUCGUCCCUGCGGUGGAAGUUGCGGUGGCACCCGCAGGCGGCGCACGUGAGCAGGUCGUGGGCGCCGGAGGGCAUGAACUCCCCGCAGCCGUCCACGGCGUGCCCGCCCUGCGCGGCCGCGUGGUUGCGCAGGCACUCGCGGUACCUCGCCUCGCCGCUCCCGGCCGCCCCGCUGUUCCCCGACGAGGCUUCGGAGGGCGCGCGCGUGCCGGGCGGCGUCCCGGCGGCGUGCUCCGGCCCCGUGAACUCCAUCACCGCAUGCCUCUGGGCUCUGGGUGGAUGCAGCUAG